rnacentral:lncRNA from 1 species
UUGAUCCCUAAUUUCAUCUCACUUUUCUUUAUUCUUCAGUUUCUCACCUAAAUUUCUUUAUUUCUAAAUGAUUCACUAGAGAAGGUAGUUUAGUCGCUACUUGUCCUACGUUAGUUGGUACCAAAGGUCAACUUCUGUCCUUACCUUCCAGCACUUUCACACUAUCAAAAAAACCUCAAAAUUUUCUACCACGAUAGAUUGAUCAAAUGUGGACUUUAUAGUCAUUUUCAGAGUGGAUCAACUUUAACUCGUCAUAAA